rnacentral:rRNA from 1 species
UACGUAGGGUGCGAGCGUUGUCCGGAAUUAUUGGGCGUAAAGGGCUCGUAGGCGGUUUGUCGCGUCGGGAGUGAAAACCCAGGGCUUAACUCUGGGCUUGCUUUCGAUACGGGCAGACUAGAGGUAUGCAGGGGAGAACGGAAUUCCGUGGUGUAGCGGUGAAAUGCGCAGAUAUCGAGGAGGAACACCGGUGGCAAGGCGGAUUCUCGUGGGCGAUUACCUGACGC